UACGGGGGGAGCAAGCGUUGUUCGGAUUUACUGGGCGUAAAGGGCGCGUAGGCGGCGUGACAAGUCACUUGUGAAAUCUCCGGGCUUAACUCGGAACGGUCAAGUGAUACUGUCGUGCUAGAGUACAGAAGGGGCAACUGGAAUUCUCGGUGUAGUGGUGAAAUGCGUAGAUAUCGAGAGGAACACCUGCGGCGAAGGCGGGUUGCUGGGCUGACACUGACGCUGAUGCGCGAAAGCCAGGGGAGCGAACGGG
rnacentral:rRNA from 1 species